GAUAGAACGCUAGCGACGACGGCCUGACACAUGACAAGUCGGAGGGGCGAGCACGGUUUUGAGCAAUACGACGGGUGGCGACCGGCGCGACGGGUGAGUAACGCGUAUGCAACCUGCCUACUACAAGGGGAUAACCCGUUGAAAGACGGACUAAUACCCUAUAACACAGGGAAUCCGCAUGGAUAUAUUUGUUAAAGAUUUAUCGGUAGUAGAUGGGCAUGCGUUCCAUUAGCUUGUUGGUGAGGUAACGGCUCACCAAGGCAACGAUGGAUAGGGGAACUGAGAGGUUGAUCCCCCACACUGGAACUGAGACACGGUCCAGACUCCUACGGGAGGCAGCAGUGAGGAAUAUUGGUCAAUGGACGAGAGUCUGAACCAGCCAAGUCGCGUGAAGGAAGACGGCCCUACGGGUUGUAAACUUCUUUUGUAAGGGAAUAAAUAGUCUUACGCGCUAAGACGUUGCAGGUACCUUACGAAUAAGGAUCGGCUAACUCCGUG
rnacentral:rRNA from 1 species